CUACGGGGGGCUCCAGUCGCGAAAACUUUACAAUGCACAAAAGUGUGAUAAGAGGAUUCCAAGUGUUUAUCUAAAGAUGAACUUUUACCAAGUGUAAGUAGCUUGGAGAAUAAGUGGUGGGAAAGACCGGUGCCAGCCGCCGCGGUAACACCGGCGCCACAAGUAGGGAUCACAUUUAUUUGGUCUAAAGCGUCCGUAGCUGGUUUAAUAAAUCUCUUGUGAAAUUGUUAAGCUCAACUUAACAAAUUGCAAGGAAGACUGUCAAACUUGAGACCGGUAGGGGAUAAGAGUAUUCUAGGGGGAGCGGUAAAAUGUUAUAAUCCCUGGAGGACUACCAAUGGCGAAGGCACUUAUCCAGAACGGGUCUAACAGUAAGGGACGAAGGCUAUGAUAACGAUAAGGAUUAGAUACCCCCGUAGUC
rnacentral:rRNA from 1 species